rnacentral:RNase_P_RNA from 1 species
GCAGGACAGACGGCCGCUGCCGGCAGACCGAAAGGUGCCGGGAGAGGAAAGUCCGGGCUUCACAGGGCAGGAUGCCGGAUAACAUCCGGCGGAGGCGACUCCAGGGACAGUGCAACAGAAAUGUACCGCCGGGCCGUGCCCGGUAAGGUUGGAAGGGCAGUGUAAGAGACUACCGCCCGCCCGGCAACGGGCGGGGCAUAUGUAAACCCCAUCCGAAGCAAGACCGAAAAGGAGGCAUAUGGCGGCCCGUCAGCCUCAGGUAGGUCGCUUGAGCCUGCUGGCGACAGCAGGCCUGGAUAGAUGGCCGUCCGCGACAUAACCCGGCUUAUCGUCUUACUU